UCAGCCAUGGAAACCCCAUCUUCUCUAAGUGCCAAAACUUUUAUGUGAGAGGCUCGUCCUUUGUUCUCUUCGAAGGGGAAAACCGGUAGUCCACCAUAACCGGUGGUGCCGUGUUGGGUCUUUUUUUGCUUUCUUGCUUCUUCUUCCCCAAAAUUUCUCUUGUAUGACCGUGACCUUGAUGCUGGUGGUUACCGAAUUCGAGAGAGUCAAGUAACGGAACCAGCUUUGCUACGAGAUCGCCAUGAAAACGACACAAAAGGGAAACAUGAAAGAUCGGAUGAAUCCGAGAAGUACGGGGUAAUGCAAGUUCAUAUGCUACCUUCCCUAUUUUGCGUGUAACCUUGAAUGGACCGAAAUAUCGAGGGCUUAGCUUGUGGCAGAAACGGCGUGCAGCGGUAACCUGGCGGUACGGUUGGAGUUUGAGGAGAACCCAAUCAUAAACCUCAAAGGAUGACGGUAACUGGUUGAUUCCCAUGUGGGUGGGUCGAGAUGGAUGUGAAUGAUGGAGGUGGACGUCCAUACAACACUUUAAAUGGGGAGAAUCCGGUUGAGGAGUGCUUGGAUGUGUUAUACUACAACUCGGCAAGGGAAAGAUGUCGGAACCACCGUGUUGGAUGAGCUCCGGAAAAGCAUCUAAGAAUGAACUUAAAACUAGUUUGUCGCGAUCCGGGACAAUAGACUUUGGGGCACCAUGA